GCGGCCGCCCUGCUGGGCUCCGGGCGCUGCAGCUCCCGGCGGGCGUCUGCAGCCCGCAGGUUCAGGACGACCCGGCUGCCAGGCUCAGCGCCUUGGGAGCUCCGCGCUGAAGGGGCCUUGCUCCGCACAGAGGCUUCGUGACGGAGUUAUCAGAGACAUUGAGAGGCAAAUUCGGAAAAAAGAAAACAUUCGUCUUUUGGGAGAACAGAUUAUUUUGACUGAGCAACUUGAAGCAGAAAGAGAGAAGAUGUUAUCGGCAAAAGGAUCUCAAAAAUCAUGACUUGAAUGUGAAAUAUCUGUUGGACAGACAACACGAGUUUGUGUGUGUGUUGAUGGAGAGUAGCUUAGUAGUAUCUUCAUCUUUUUUUUGAUCACUG
rnacentral:sRNA from 1 species